GCCUGGCGUGGUGGCGCGUGCUUGUAGUCCCAGCUACCGGGGAGGCUGAGAGGGAAGGGGAGGCUGAGAGGGAAGUAUCGCUUCAGCCCAGGAGUUCUGGGCUAUAGUGCUCUAUGCCGAUGGGGUGUCCACACUAAGUUCGGCAUCAAUAUGGUGACCUCCUGGGAGUGGGGGACCACCAGGUUGCCUAAGGAGGGGUGAACCGGCCCAGGUCGGAAACGGAGCAGGUCAAAACUCCUGUGCUGAUCAGUAGUGGGAUUGCGCCUGUGAAUAGCCACUGCACUCCAGCCAGGGCAACAUAGCGAGACCCUGUCUCU
rnacentral:SRP_RNA from 1 species